rnacentral:rRNA from 1 species
UACGUAGGGUGCAAGCGUUGUCCGGAAUUAUUGGGCGUAAAGAGCUCGUAGGCGGUCUGUCGCGUCUGCUGUGAAAACUCAGGGCUUAACCCUGAGCUUGCAGUGGGUACGGGCAGACUAGAGUGCGGUAGGGGAGACUGGAAUUCCUGGUGUAGCGGUGAAAUGCGCAGAUAUCAGGAGGAACACCGGUGGGCGGAAGGCGGGUCUCUGGGCCG